rnacentral:rRNA from 1 species
AGAGUUUGAUCCUGGCUCAGGAUGAACGCUAGCGACAGGCCUAACACAUGCAAGUCGAGGGGCAGCGGGGAGGUAGCAAUACCUUGCCGGCGACCGGCGCACGGGUGAGUAACACGUAUGCAAUCCACCUGUAACAGGGGGAUAACCCGGAGAAAUCCGGACGUAAUACCCCAUAAUAUGGGCGCUCCGCAUGGAGAGUUCAUUAAAAGAGAGACAAUUUUGGUUACAGACGAGCAUGCGCUCCAUUAG